AGCGAACGCUGGCGGCAGGCCUAACACAUGCAAGUCGAACGAACCUUUCGGGGUUAGUGGCGGACGGGUGCGUAACACGUGGGAACGUGCCUUUAGGUUCGGAAUAACUCAGGGAAACUUGUGCUAAUACCGAAUGUGCCCUUCGGGGGAAAGAUUUAUCGCCUUUAGAGCGGCCCGCGUCUGAUUAGCUCGUUUGUUGAGGUAAUGGCUCACCAAGGCGACGAUCAGUAGCUGGUCUGAGAGGAUGAUCAGCCACAUUGGGACUGAGACACGGCCCAAACUCCUACGGGAGGCAGCAGUGGGGAAUCUUGCGCAAUGGGCGAAAGCCUGACGCAGCCAUGCCGCGUGAAUGAUGAAGGUCUUAGGAUUGUAAAAUUCUUUCACCGGGGACGAUAAUGACGGUACCCGGAGAAGAAGCCCCGGCUAACUUCGUG
rnacentral:rRNA from 1 species